rnacentral:rRNA from 1 species
UACGGGGGGGGCAAGCGUUGUUCGGAAUUAUUGGGCGUAAAGGGCUCGUAGGCGGCCAACUAAGUCAGACGUGAAAUCCCUCGGCUUAACCGGGGAACUGCGUCUGAUACUGGAUGGCUAGAGGUUGGGAGAGGGAUGCGGAAUUCCAGGUGUAGCGGUGAAAUGCGUAGAUAUCUGGAGGAACACCGGUGGCGAAGGCGGCAUCCUGGACCAAUUCUGACGCUGAGGAGCGAAAGCCAGGGGAGCAAGCGGG